rnacentral:lncRNA from 1 species
GGCUCGCUAUGGGACCAGUGGACACUCUGACUCAACCAGCUGUGUGUCAGGAGGGCAGGCGUCCAACAAGAGCCACGUGACAGGGUUGGGAGCUAGCGCUUCGUCUACACGGAAUAUGGGCCCUCUCAAAGGAUCUGUGCCGGGCAGAUGGUGUUUGGGAUGGACUUGUUUCUAUCGGCCCCUCCUUCUAGCCUGACCACUGGACUGGCCUACAGCCUCCUUCCAGCUCUCAGCCGGUGUUGUAACCCCCGAAUUACGGAUGCUAACUCUCUACGGAUAAUUGUCCUGUUUCUUAAAAGUCUCACCAGAGAGACUUCAGUGUUGUGUACAGACAGUUUGCCUCUGCGUUUUCCCUCACAGAAGCUUCCAUCCUCCUUCCAGCCUGAGGCAAUCGAGAUAUGCAGACAGCUGGUUUCUGUGCUGCAUCCUCCUGCAACAAGCCCCGGGCUCCCUGCCCUUCCCUGACCACUCCAAGAGAACCCAGCCUAGCGUUAGAACGACACAACCCAUAACCACCACCACCCCCAAUGGAAGUAUUCUGAGGAGCCAAAUGCCAGCACCAGGCAUACCCCUCCCCUCCUCUGCAUCUCCAAAGACCACCACUUUUCCUGAUAAACAGCCGAACUCUCCAGGUGCCUGUCCUUAAGACCUUAAAGAAAUAACAAACUCUAAGGAGAUUAGGACCCUGAGUUUAAAUCAUGGAGAAAGGGUAAUCAGAGGUCACAGAUAGUUACAACUGGCCACAAAAUUAGUCCCUAAACAGACACCCAUUAACUACCCUCCUGGCUUCAGUUCCAUCCCACCAAAUGGUUACAGCCCUCCACUCCCCUUUUCUGUGAACAUUCAGGGGAUUCCUGACUAUACUGUAUAUAAACCCAGUGACUCAGGCAUCACUUGCCAGCAUUCACCCUGUGAGUGCAAGGCAUGUGAUCCGAGUUUGAACUUGGAAACAAUAAAAGACUCUUUUGCAAGUUGCAUCGGACUUCGAAAUGCUUGGGCUUGUCUGGGUUUCCCGUGGACUCGGCAUAACACUGACAUCCUCCUGAGUCAGGGCCUUUUACAGUGAUUUGCCUUUGUCCAGGUCCCAAGCCCCCAUCUGAGCUGCCAGAGAGGAAGGUCCCAACAGCCACCGCCCUGUUGGCCUGGUCAUGUCCUCUCCCCUGCACUGCUAGGGGAUUAGGGGGAUAGGUGGGGCUGGACCAGGUGCCGGAUACACGUAGUUAAGGGCAGAGCAUUUGGUGAGUAGAAAAAAGAGAGGAAAGGGAAAAUGUUGUGUUUAUAAAAAGAUAAGGAGAGAAGGAACACGUUUGGUGGGGGUGUAGUCAGGUGUGGGGGAAGGGGGUGCUUCUGAGGGCCAAUGCUGAGGCGUCCCUUCCCUCUGAGGGACACGC